rnacentral:rRNA from 1 species
UACGGAGGGGGUUAGCGUUGUUCGGAAUUACUGGGCGUAAAGCGCACGUAGGCGGAUCAGAAAGUUGGGGGUGAAAUCCCGGGGCUCAACCCCGGAACUGCCUCCAAAAACUCCUGGUCUUGAGUUCGAGAGAGGUGAGUGGAAUUCGAAGUGUAGAGGUGAAAUUCGUAGAUAUUCGGGGGGAACACCAGUGGCGAAGGCGGCUCACUGGCUCGAUACUGACGCUGAGGUGACGAAAAGUGUGGGGAGCAAACAGGAUUAGAUA